UCUACGGGUGGCUGCAGUGGGGAAUAUUGGACAAUGGGCGAAAGCCUGAUCCAGCCAUGCCGCGUGUGUGAAGAAGGCCUUCGGGUUGUAAAGCACUUUCAGUGGGGAAGAAAGCCUUGGGGCUAAUACCCUCGAGGAAGGACAUCACCCAUAGAAGAAGCACCGGCUAACUCCGUGCCAGCAGCCGCGGUAAUACGGAGGGUGCGAGCGUUAAUCGGAAUUACUGGGCGUAAAGCGCGCGUAGGCGGUCUGAUAAGCCGGUUGUGAAAGCCCCGGGCUCAACCUGGGAACGGCAUCCGGAACUGUCAGGCUAGAGUGCAGGAGAGGAAGGUAGAAUUCCCGGUGUAGCGGUGAAAUGCGUAGAGAUCGGGAGGAAUACCAGUGGCGAAGGCGGCCUUCUGGACUGACACUGACGCUGAGGUGCGAAAGCGUGGGUAGCAAACAGGAUUAGAUACCCGGGUAGUC
rnacentral:rRNA from 1 species